rnacentral:lncRNA from 1 species
UAUAUGUAUGCAUUGUGUAUGUAUGUUAUGUGUGUGUGUGUGUAUGUAUAUAUUAUAUGUAUGCGUACGUGUAUGUGUAUGCAUUGUAUGUAUGUGUAUUGUGUGUAUAUGUGGUACAUCUAUGUAUGUGUAUGUAAACACUAUUUAUAUGUAUAUAUGUAUAUAUGUAUAUGCAUUGUCUAUAUAUAUAUAUAUUAUAUGUAUGUAUUGCGUAUGUAUAUUGCAUGCAUAUAUUGUGUAUGUGUAUUAUUUACAUGCUGUAUGUGUGUAUUGUAUGUGUAUAUAUAUGCUAGGUGUAUUUGUGUGAUAUUUAUAUUAUGUAUGUAUGUGUGCGUGUGUUGUGUGUGUGUGUGUGUGUGUGUGUGUGUGUGUGUGUUGUGUGUGUGUGUGUUAUAUAUCUGUGUAUAUUAUAUAUAGAUACAUGUUAUAUUUGUGUGCUGUGUGUAUAUGUGAUAUAUGUGGGUGUGUUGUGUGUGGGUGGGUGUGUUCUGUGUGUGUGUGUGUGUGUUGUUUGUAUGUGGUGUGUGUUUGUAUACUAUGUGUGUGUGUGUGUGUGUUGUUGUGUGUGUGUGUGUGUGUGUAUAUAUAUGUGUGUGACAAACAGACGCUAUCUGACCAGCAGGCACGGACACAUCUAUUCACACCCGCAUACUAACCUCCUGAUAACCCCAAAAUCAUUCAUGCAUAAAGGGGAAGUAUACACCACAUUGGCUACUUCUUCUUUUCUCUCAGUUCAGCCUUUCUGCUAAUACCGACAGGUCAGUAAAAACAUAUUCUCGCCUUGAACUUAAAAUAUUCUGAGAUGUAUAAAAAAUCCAUUUUAAUUUUUGCUGUCAAAAGGCUGUAUAUAUAUACCAAAGACUGUAUAUAUAUACAUGUAAUGUGACAAUUUGCGACAACCAAUAAUUAACGCAACCAAUUCCCAAUAAUAUAUUUGUUUUAUCCUUUUCUGCCAAAUUUUCCCAAAUAUUCUCAUCACACUAUUGAACUUCUCUGUUACCAAACACUAUAUCUAUACAUGUAAUGUGACAAUUAUGUAUAAAAAAACAUUUUUGAAUUCAUAAUAUCCAAUAUGACAAUUAUGUAAAAAACUUUUUUGAAUGCAUAAUAUUCAAUGUGACAAUUAUGUAAAAAACUUUUUUUGAACCCAUAUUAUUCAAUGUUUCCUUAAAUGUUACUUUUGACAAUCUUUUACCAAAGAGUGAAACCGGUUAAGUAAAUAAACAUUGUUUAAAUUGCAUUUUCAAACCUUUUUUCUUUAUAUAUAUAUAUAUAUAUAUAUAUAUAUAUAUACACUACCGUCAGAAAUUAAUUAGCACCCUUGAUUUACUCUUCACUCAAGGUAUUUGCUGUCACCUAGUGGCCAUAUCUCGAACUAUUGCUUUGUUGCGAGUUCACUGUUGCGCAGAACGAUGACGUAACUUUGUUUGCAGAGCAGUUUGAGAGUCAACAGCCUAAUGAUGUUGACAUAGCAGUGCAACAACAACUUGGAGUGCAGAUGCAGACAAAUCUUCCUUUGUUUAAUAGAUAUAGGUAGCGCCUCGCAAGGACCGAAAUCACACCGUACUAAGUUUUCUCAUCGCGUAAGACGUUUUGAACAGCUCGUAGGUUAAUUGAUUUGUGUAUUUGCAAGAUUUUUUUCCUCACAAAUUCUCCUACACUCUGCUUGGUGACGUCACUUCCGGUUCACAAAACUUUCAGUUAUACAUCAAAUAAGGUGAGAAAUUCUGUUUUCUUUCUUUUUUGUUUAAUGAAUAAUAACUCAUAGCAGUUUUGUUAUAGCAUAACAUUAUUCAAAUGAACAGUUUUAAUGAAAAUAACUGGUUUUUAUCGUACAUUCCUAGAUGGGCCCAAGACCUCGCAUGACCUUGGAGAGACGGUACGAGGCUCUCUCGUGACGUGGGAAGCUGUCGGAGGCUGCAAUAGCCAGAAAACUUGGUGUAGCCAAGCGCACAAUUCAGUGCUUAUUUAAGAAAUACGAGGAAACCGGAUCAGCAGCUGACAAAAAGGGUAGGGGACGGAAGAGGCUGACGACCCAGCGGAUAUAAAGAGAAGGAGGGAUAGCAAUGGUCACUCUAUGGCUGGCCAUGAUAAACAGCCUUCUAAUCUAACUAUACUGCUGUGCUAAUGUUUUAGAGCAGUGGUUCUGAAACUGGGGUCCACGGUCCCCAAGAUGACUGUGAAACGAUUUUAGGAGAACCACGAAGGGAUGCUAAAGUAUUGUGAAAACAGAGUGGCUUGAGACAGUUAAAUUUUAAAAUUUCAAGACUUUCAAUUUUGCACAUGCUAUCAUCCUUUUUUCUUGUUGACCUCAAAAACCCACAUCAUUCCUACACACUCAUUUGCUAAUGACACUUGUUGUACAAGUGUGAUUGCCAAAAGAAAAUAUGCGGGUAUAAUGGUUGAUCGUGCAUGUGCUGUCGGUAUUUUUCAUUUCUCAUUUGUUUUGUAACCAAUUGACCAACUGAUUCUCCAUAUUUUCAAGUGCAUUUAAUGUAUCCCAAUGGAGCAUUGCCUGGAUUAAGUUGAGGUUUUUGGUGUUGUGGGUCUAUGGGCAGUGUGGUUCAUAGUCCAGAAAUUAUGGUACACAAAUGUAUGUCAUUUUUUGCCGUGUUGAUUAUCUUGCAUUUUAUAGGGGACCACAAGUCAGGGACUGGUACAUAAAAGAUUUUGAAAAGUCUAAGAACCACUGUUUUAGAGUGUGCUUCUUUUUCAGUUAUAUAAACUACUGACCAAUAUAUAUAUUGUCACAUUCAUCUGUCCUGCUGCUCAGUCUGUUAAGACUUACCAUUUCUCCUUUGCACCAGCCUACUAUGUUCGUCUGAUAGACGAAAGAUCCUUUCUGUUAUUUAUCUAUGUUGUAACUGUACAAUUAUUUUCAUUUUGUUGUAUAGCCAAAAGGUGUUUAUCUAUUGUACAUGUAUAAUUCCUGUUCUCUUGCACUUGCAUUAUUACUGUAUCAUGUUACAUUUGUCUAAUAGACAAAAGACAUUUUCUGUUAUUUAUUUGUAACUGUACCAUUAUUUUUGUUUUGUUGUAUAGCUGAAAGGCAUUCAUCUAUUGUAUGUGUAUAAUUCUUGCUUUCUUGUUCUUGUAGACAUUCAUUUGCCUUUUGCAGAAGCUUAUGGCUUUUAGCUUAAUGCUCUGGUGCUUGCUGGUCUCAGGAGUAAAAGAGCACAAAUCUGCUAUGACCUUCCAGACACUGAGUGACGAGAAAGUUAGCUAUAAAUGAUCCAUGUAUCUUGUUUUUGCUCAGUUUCCCAUUUGUUAUAUUACUGUCUAUUUUUCCAUGUGAUGUUUUUUGUUGGAUUUCUGUUUGUUGUGUUCUUGCUGUCCUACUCUUGAUUUAUAUAUAUAUAAGCACAGGAGUGGCUGUGUGGUAUGUAGCUUGCUUACCAACCACAUAGUUCCAGGUUCAGUCCCACUGUGUGGCACCUUGGGCAAGUGUCUUCUACUAUAGCCUCAGGCCAACCAAAGCCUUGUGAGUGGAUUUGGUAAAUGGAAACUGAAAGAAGCCCGUUGUAUAUAUGUAUAUGUGUGUGUGUGUUUGUGUAUCUGUAGUUGUCUAACCCCCCCCCCAAAAAAAAAAAACAUCGCUUGACAACCGAUGCUGGUGUGUUUUUAUGUCCCCAUAACUUAGCAGUUUGGCAAAAGAGAUUGAUAGAAUAAGUACUCAAUUUACAAAGAAUAAGUCCUGGGGUCAAUUUGCUCGACUAAAGGCGGUGCUCCAGCAUGGCUGCAGUCAAAUGACUGAAACAAGUAAAAGAGUAAAAGAGAGUAUAUGCAGGGUGGGUAGAAAGUAACUAGGCAUUAGAAGUUUCUUAUAGAAUUUUUAGUAUCACUGAAGUCAUGACAAAAACAUUUUUUAAACAAGCAACAAUAAUGGGGAUUUUUUAUUUUCUUAUUGUCUUAUUUCUUAUUUUCCAGAUGGCCAGUUGCUUGACUUUUCAAGGGUGAGCUAAGAUAGCAGCAUGCUAUGAAGUGUGGAAUUCCAUUGUUUUGGUUCAGAUAUGGUGGCAUGCCUGGAAAGGUAAGCAUCCAACACUACAUCCAGAGACAAUAAAAAGUUGCCAUGCAAAGCUGAUGACUACAGGCUCUGUGAACAGUGCAAGAAGUGGCCAUCCAAACAUAUCCCGAUCAGCGGAGAACAUGGCAACAGUGCAAGAAAUGUUUAAUUGCAAUCUGCAAAAAUCAGCACAUCAAGUAGCUCAUGAAAGUAGACAAACAAGACACACAAUAUGUACAAUGUUGCAUAAAGAAUUGAAUUUUUGUCCGUGAAAAUCCCAUUACAGUUUACAAGGAGGAGGUGUACAAGACAGUGCCUCGCACACUUGAAGACAUGGAGACACAGAUUCAGGAGGUUCUCAAGGAUAUUCCAGGUGGCAUCUUUCAGAAGGUUGUUCAUUCCAUCUAUCCCUGACUGUUUGAGGAAACUGGUUGAUGCCACCAGUGCUUUUGUUGAAAUAUGAAGAUUCACUUUUAUUUUCCCAUGUAAUAAAGAAUAUAUCAUUUGUUUCAAUAAAUUUGUAAAAGGAA